GACGAACCGUGCGAACGUUGUUCGGAAUCACUGGGCGUAAAGCGCACGUAGGCGGCUUUCUAAGUCGGGGGUGAAAUCCUGGAGCUCAACUCCAGAACUGCCUUCGAUACUGGAGAGCUCGAGUCCGGGAGAGGUGAGUGGAACUGCGAGUGUAGAGGUGAAAUUCGUAGAUAUUCGCAAGAACACCAGUGGCGAAGGCGGCUCACUGGCCCGGUACUGACGCUGAGGUGCGAAAGCGUGGGGAGCAA
rnacentral:rRNA from 1 species